AUUGAACGCUGGCGGCAGGCCUAACACAUGCAAGUCGAGCGAGCGGCGGACGGGUGAGUAAUGUAUGGGGACUGCCCGAUAGAGGGGGAUAACUACUGGAAACGGUGGCUAAUACCGCAUACUAUCGGAUAACCCAUAUGGGAUUAGCUAGUAGGUGGGGUAAAGGCUCACCUAGGCGACGAUCUCUAGCUGGUCUGAGAGGGUGAUCAGCCACACUGGGACUGAGACACGGGCAAGACUCCUACGGAGGCGGCAGUGGGGAAGAUGGCACAAUGGGCGCAAGCCGGAUGCAGCCAUGACGCGGGUAUGAAGAAGGCCUAAGGGUUGUAAAGUACAUUCAGCGGGGAGGCGUUACCCGCAGAAGAAGCACCGGCUAACUCCGUGCCAGCAGGCGCGGUAAUUC
rnacentral:rRNA from 1 species